rnacentral:lncRNA from 1 species
GUAGUGAUUAUAAAAUAGAUGCUGUUCGCAGUGAGUAAAGUAACACUCCCUUUACUUUCAAUGCAUUUUUCUGCAAAAAGUGGGUAAACCCUGGCGCAAAGUAAAUAAGGUGUGGAAAUGGUAUUUCUGUGAGUUUCCUUUCCACUACACUACUGGGACUAUCCUUUCCUGUUAUGGUUGGGAAUCUUAGUUUUGCCUUUAAGAAACAUAUUUUCCUUUGAUAUUCGGCACUGGUACAAAGCCAUUGGAUGUGUGUAUAUGUUAUAGCCAAUCAUAGUAAUCCAGUAGGCUAAUGCAGCACACAGGGAUGUAUGAAACAUACUCCUCAGCCUGAACUGUCCCCACUUGUGCUGCGGGAUAGCUAGCUUUUUGUGUGGCACGACUGGUAAGAUGCUUCGGUAGGACGGUCACGCGUGCUAGCAAAACAGAGGUCCUGGGUUUGAGCCUCGGUGUGAGCAGAAUCAGGAGGACGCUAAGCAAGAAGCUCAAUGUCCUUUACACUAACUCUGGGAAGAUCUUAAUUACAUACUUCUCGCAUCCUCUUUCCUCGACUCCUCAAAACCCAUUGGAUGAGAAGGUCAGAGGGGAGGGACCUCUUGCGUUCUCAUCCAAUGGGUUUUGAGUAGGAGACGAGGAGACAGGAAGAGAAGGAGAAUGUAAUUGAGAUCUUUCCACUGUUUCAUUGUCCUCUGCAGCCCAUUGAUAGGGCCCACAUCUGGUACUACCAGCUGAAGUUGGGCUUCUACGUCUCUCUGCUUCUCCUUGUCUCUGUGGACGUCGAGGAAAGAUUUCAAAGAGCAGGUGAUUCCCCACAUUACCACAAUCGUCCUGCUUGGUUUCUCCUACUGUUCCAACUAGAAUAAUCCACACAACCCUUAUGCUGUCCAUGGAAGUAUUUGAACCCUUCACUAGCUACAAUUAUUUCAAUGUUCUUCUGAUGGUGCUACAAGCACUUCAUGUCUUCUGGGCUGUGUUAAUCCUACAGAUGGCCUACAGGUUUCUCUUCUUGAGCAAGCUGGGAUAAAGAUGAACUCAGUGAUGAAGAGGGAGACGGGGAGGAGGAAGACGAGGAGAAGGAGUAAUGUUGGGAGAGAAGUAAAGAUGGUGUAAACGCCAAACUGAAAAUGCUGACCAAUAGCUGUGUCUUAAAACAACCUAACAAAUCACAGAGCUGCUGUUGUGAGAAAGAUACGCAAUGCGCAGUAGAACUGUGAACCUAGACAGAGUUCAACAAAGAUUAAAGGCUUUAAAUACGGGACAGAGUUAACCAUAACCAUCUAAGCACAAUACAGCUGUAACUCCACUCACAUAUGCCCAUUCAUUGUCCUACUGUAUAAAAUGUGAAUAGGAAGUACCCUAUGUAUUUUUAUCAUUUCAA